rnacentral:rRNA from 1 species
UACGUAGGGAGCAAGCGUUGUCCGGAAUCAUUGGGCGUAAAGAGCUCGUAGGCGGCUUGGUAAGUCGGAUGUGAAACCUCCAGGCUCAACCUGGAGUCGCCAUCCGAUACUGCCAUAGCUAGAGUCCGGUAGGGGCCCACGGAACUCCUGGUGUAGCGGUGAAAUGCGCAGAUAUCAGGAGGAACACCGGUGGCGAAGGCGGGUCUCUGGGCCGUUACUGACGCUGAGGAGCGAAAGCGUGGGGAGCGAACAGG